rnacentral:rRNA from 1 species
GAUGAACGCUGGCGGCGUGCCUAAUACAUGCAAGUCGAGCGAACAGAUAAGGAGCUUGCUCCUUUGACGUUAGCGGCGGACGGGUGAGUAACACGUGGAUAACCUACCUAUAAGACUGGGAUAACUUCGGGAAACCGGAGCUAAUACCGGAUAACAUAUUGAACCGCAUGGUUCAAUAGUGAAAGGCGGCUUUGCUGUCACUUAUAGAUGGAUCCGCGCCGUAUUAGCUAGUUGGUAAGGUAACGGCUUACCAAGGCAACGAUACGUAGCCGACCUGAGAGGGUGAUCGGCCACACUGGAACUGAGACACGGUCCAGACUCCUACGGGAGGCAGCAGUAGGGAAUCUUCCGCAAUGGGCGAAAGCCUGACGGAGCAACGCCGCGUGAGUGAUGAAGGUCUUCGGAUCGUAAAACUCUGUUAUCAGGGAAGAACAAAUGUGUAAGUAACUGUGCACAUCUUGACUGUACCUGAUCAGAAAGCCACGGCUAACUACGUG